GACGAACGCGGGCGGCGUGCUUAACACAUGCAAGUCGAACGAAGAGCGAUGGAAGCUUGCUUCUAUCAAUCUUAGUGGCGAACGGGUGAGUAACGCGUAAUCAACCUGCCCUUCAGAGGGGGACAACAGUUGGAAACGACUGCUAAUACCGCAUACGAUUUAAUCUCGGCAUCGAGGAUAGAUGAAAGGUGGCCUCUACAUGUAAGCUAUCACUGAAGGAGGGGAUUGCGUCUGAUUAGCUAGUUGGAGGGGUAACGGCCCUCCAAGGCGAUGAUCAGUAGCCGGUCUGAGAGGAUGAACGGCCACAUUGGGACUGAGACACGGCCCAGACUCCUACGGGAGGCAGCAGUGGGGAAUCUUCCGCAAUGGACGAAAGUCUGACGGAGCAACGCCGCGUGAGUGAUGACGGCCUUCGGGUUGUAAAGCUCUGUUAAUCGGGACGAAAGGCC
rnacentral:rRNA from 1 species